rnacentral:rRNA from 1 species
UACGAGGGGGGCAAGCGUUGUUCGGAAUUAUUGGGCGUAAAGGGCGCGUAGGCGGUUUGACAAGUCUGAUGUGAAAUCUAUGGGCUCAAUCCAUAGCCUGCAUUAGAAACUGUCGGGCUUGAGUAUGGGAGAGGUGAGUGGAAUUUCCGGUGUAGCGGUGAAAUGCGUAGAUAUCGGAAGGAACACCUGUGGCGAAAGCGGCUCACUGGACCAUAACUGACGCUGAGGCGCGAAAGCUAGGGGAGCAAACAGG